UGGCCUCAAAUCGGGUGAGACUACCCGCUGAACUUAAGCAUAUCAAUAAGCGGAGGAAAAGAAACUAACAAGGAUUCCCCUAGUAACUGCGAGUGAAGCGGGAAAAGCUCAAAUUUAAAAUCUGGCGGCUCUUUGCCGUCCGAGUUGUAAUUUAGAGAAGCGUCUUCCGCGUCGGACCAUGCACAAGUCUCCUGGAAUGGAGCGUCAUAGAGGGUGAGAAUCC
rnacentral:rRNA from 1 species